UGGGGAAUAUUGGACAAUGGGCGCAAGCCUGAUCCAGCCAUGCCGCGUGUGUGAAGAAGGCCUUUUGGUUGUAAAGCACUUUAAGCGAGGAGGAGGCUACUUGGAUUAAUACUCUAGGAUAGUGGACGUUACUCGCAGAAUAAGCACCGGCUAACUCUGUGCCAGCAGCCGCGGUAAUACAGAGGGUGCGAGCGUUAAUCGGAUUUACUGGGCGUAAAGCGUGCGUAGGCGGCUUCUUAAGUCGGAUGUGAAAUCCCUGAGCUUAACUUAGGAAUUGCAUUCGAUACUGGGAAGCUAGAGUAUGGGAGAGGAUAGUAGAAUUCCAGGUGUAGCGGUGAAAUGCGUAGAGAUCUGGAGGAAUACCGAUGGCGAAGGCAGCCAUCUGGCCUAAUACUGACGCUGAGGUACGAAAGCAUGGGGAGCAAACAGG
rnacentral:rRNA from 2 species